UGGGGAAUAUUGGACAAUGGGGGGAACCCUGAUCCAGCCAUGCCGCGUGUGUGAAGAAGGCCUUUUGGUUGUAAAGCACUUUAAGCGAGGAGGAGGCUACUCUAGUUAAUACCUAGGGAUAGUGGACGUUACUCGCAGAAUAAGCACCGGCUAACUCUGUGCCAGCAGCCGCGGUAAUACAGAGGGUGCGAGCGUUAAUCGGAUUUACUGGGCGUAAAGCGUGCGUAGGUGGCCAAUUAAGUCAAAUGUGAAAUCCCCGAGCUUAACUUGGGAAUUGCAUUCGAUACUGGUUGGCUAGAGUAUGGGAGAGGAUGGUAGAAUUCCAGGUGUAGCGGUGAAAUGCGUAGAGAUCUGGAGGAAUACCGAUGGCGAAGGCAGCCAUCUGGCCUAAUACUGACACUGAGGUACGAAAGCAUGGGGAGCAAACAGG
rnacentral:rRNA from 1 species